rnacentral:lncRNA from 1 species
GACCACUGGAAAUAAAUAAACAUGGUGCCGACAGCAUCUUUAAAUUAGUAAGACGUUAGCACAAAACAAAAAAGCACAACGACUGAAAAUGCACUUGCUUGUUUUGGUGGGGUGUGCUUGAAAACACCUGAAGCCCACAAGUGGAAACCAUUGGGGAGGUUUGUCAGUGGAGUGUGUAGAAAAAGGGCCGGAAAAGCCAAGUCUUCUGAGACAGUCCCCUGCAGUGGCCCUGGUCCCCUGUGGAAUUCCAGCACAGCAAGAGGGGGAGGGGGAAGCCUCAAAGUCAGCACUGCGGGACACGGCCCCUACCUUCUGAAGUGGGGUCCCCAUGCUGGAGUGGGGCACACAGCACCAAGGAUCACAGACUGGACCCCCCACCAACCUUCUGCGGAAGAGCUCCCACCCCAGCUCAGAUGCCCAGAAGAGACCUGCGCAGUGUGAAGACGGACCCCAGCGGCCCCAGCCAUUUCACUCAGCAGCUACUUUCCACAACAGACGCUGGCAGCCCCCAUGCUCGCCCCAGCCGCAGCAGCCAACAGGCAAGCGCGUGUCAUCGAGAGGCCACUGGCUCCCUGUAUCCUUGAGGCAUGUCCACCUCCCAGAGCAGGAGGUUGGAACAGAACAGCAUCCCGAGGACCCCUAGCCGAGGCAGGAAGGGAAGAGGCUGACGUUGUGCGUGGGCCCUGCCGGCUCCAGUGGGAAGCAGUGGUGUGUGCCUCCAGGGAGCACCUCUCCCGGACCCGGGGCCGUGGCCGCCUGCAAUGUCCACUGCCUCCUGGAUUCGCACAGCAACGCGCCAGGCAGGUGGGGCACCAGCUACUGUCCUUAUUUGCAGCCAAGAGAACAGGCCCAGAGGGAAGAGGUCUUGCCCAACACAGUUGGUCCACCUGCCUGCUGGUGGUCCUCGGCCUCCAGACUGUGGGCUGUCCCUUGGAAAAGCGGAAUUCGGCCCCAGGAAGGAUGCAGGUCCUAUGAGCAGACGCUGUGAAGUCUGUCCAUGUGCAGUGGGAAGCAACGGGGCAGGGGUGAAUAAAGGUCUUCAUUCCUCAAGCAAGAGAGACGGAGAUCUGGUCCUGGGUCCCCAAACUGUUCAUCAGGUUUCUCCAGGCUCAUUGGAUGGUGAGGGGGUCCCGGUGCCCAGGCAGGGGCGGCAGGCUCCACUGGGCACUUGCUCAGAGCUUGCGGCUUGAGCAGCCGCUGGUCAGUGAAGCCGUGUCCAGCUCCGGUGGCUCCCAGCUUGGGACACUCUGGGCUGUGCCACAGGCCAGCUCCUCCAGCCACAGCUGAGCACUGGAGUGAUGCUGGACCACUUGGCUCCACCUCUGGCUGGGGAGAAGAGAAGCCCAGGGCCUGAGAAGGCAGAGCACGCCCAGAGCUCAGGAGGGGCCCGGCGGGAUCUUCUUGUUCUGGGGGUCCCUGGCUGCUGCCAUGGAGGCAGCGACAGCUCAGGAAAGUGGGCCGCACUGGCCAGGCCUCGGCUGCCUCCCACAGGGAAAAAAAUUCACGGGAACAACAGAAACAGCGGGUGCGCCACUUCCCUCUCUCCAGGAGGGUGGGGACUGGGUGAGAGACCAGGGGCCUCCAAACGCAGGCGGCAG